rnacentral:tRNA from 1 species
GGGGGCAUGAUGCAAUUAUGGCAGACAUUCUGCACUCAAAAUGCAGAUUUUACUGGUUCGAGUCCAGUUGCCCCUACCA